GUAGGUGAACCUGCGGAAGGAUCAUUAACGAAAGCUCGAGCGAGGUUGUGGCUGGUCCCUCCCGGGGGGCAACGUGCACGCCUCGUCUCUCGUCUUCAUCUAUCAACCCCUGUGCACCUCUGCGUGGGUCCCCAUCUCGGGGGCUUGCGUCCUUUCACCACAAAACACAUUCGUAUGUAUCGGAACGUUAUGAUGAUGAUAAAAACCAGUACAACUUUCAACAACGGAUCUCUUGGCUCUC
rnacentral:misc_RNA from 1 species